rnacentral:lncRNA from 1 species
UGGCCACAAGGCUUGCCCGGCCAGUCUGCAUCCCCCCUCCUGCUAGGUCACAGACACUGGGCUUCCAGCAAGCAGUCCUUAAACAUCAGUGCUCUCUUUGCUCUUUGGAGCUGUAGACCAGCACAGCUUCCUUGACCCAUCUGAGAUUCCUUUAGGCCAGGUUUCCACUGCUGCAUUGUGGCAAUCCCUAUUCCUAUGUUUUGGCUUGUUUUUAAUUCCUCGAACCCCAGACUUUUUACCUCAUAGAACUCCUGCUUCCUUUAAAGGAAGGGCAUGGUUUUUUUUUUUCUUUCUUUCUUUUGAAGGCUCUGAGGAGAGAGGUAGGAGGAAUUUGGAACCAACCUGUCUUCUUGGAUCCCUCAUGAAUAUGAGUAACUCUGACCCAUGCUGAUGUGUAUUUUGGAAGCUCUGCCUGAGUUGCUCUCUGUCCUGCGAUUUGAAGGAUGAAGAGACUGGAGUGAUAUGGAAUGUCAGGUCAACACGUCACAGGGGGACAGAAGGGUCCCCUUUGCAAAUAACUAGGAGGUUUCCAGGAAUUCAGAUAAAGUGAUGGUAUAGGCCUCUCUUUUUUAAUCCCUGAGUUGUCUGAAGUGCAAACAAAACAAAAAAUAAACCAACCAAACAAAAGC